rnacentral:RNase_P_RNA from 1 species
CAGACUAUGCGGUAGCGGAAACGUUUAGUUUAUGAGGAAAGUCCGGGCAUCAAAGAGCAGGGUAGCUGCUAACAGCAGCCGAGGGCGACCUUAGGGCAAGUGCAACAGAGAUAUACUGCCUCUGUAUUGAGGUGAUGGUGGAAAGGCGAGGUAAGAGCUCACCAGGUUGCAGGAGACUGCAAUGCUAUGUAAACCCUAUCCGAUGCAACGUCUAUUGGUACUUUAUAUUUUAACGCUUGCUCGGCGGAUAUAGAGUAAUGACGGCUUCAGCUUGCCGGCGACGGUAAGCGUAGAUAAAUUACCGCACACGACAGAACCCGGCUUAUCGGUCUGGUC